rnacentral:rRNA from 1 species
UAGACCUACGGGAGGCAGCAGUGAGGAAUAUUGGUCAAUGGACGAGAGUCUGAACCAGCCAAGUCGCGUGAAGGAUGACUGCCCUAUGGGUUGUAAACUUCUUUUAUAUGGGAAUAAAAUGUUCCACGUGGGGGAUUUUGUAUGUACCUUAUGAAUAAGGAUCGGCUAACUCCGUGCCAGCAGCCGCGGUAAUACGGAGGAUCCGAGCGUUAUCCGGAUUUAUUGGGUUUAAAGGGAGCGUAGGUGGAUUGGUAAGUCAGUUGUGAAAGUUUGCGGCUCAACCGUAGAAUGGCAGUUGAAACUGG